CGGACGGGUGAGUAACGCGUGAGUAACCUGCCUUACACAAGGGGAUAGCCGUUGGAAACGACGAAUAAUACCCUAUGACAUAAACUCUUCGCAUGAGGAGCUUAUCAAAGAUUUAUCGGUGUAAGAUGGACUCGCGUCUGAUUAGCUAGUUGGUGAGGUAACGGCCACCAAGGCGACGAUCAGUAGCCGGCUUGAGAGAGUGUACGGCCACAUUGGGACUGAGACACGGCCCAGACUCCUACGGGAGGCAGCAGUA
rnacentral:rRNA from 1 species